GAUGAACGCUGGCGGCGUGCUUAACACAUGCAAGUCGAACGGAAAGGCUCCUGCUUGCAGGGGUACUCGAGUGGCGAACGGGUGAGUAACACGUGGGUGAUCUGCCCUGCACUUCGGGAUAAGCCUGGGAAACUGGGUCUAAUACCGGAUAGGACCACAUUUUGGAUGGUGUGGUGGAAAGUUUUUCGGUGUGGGAUGAGCUCGCGGCCUAUCAGCUUGUUGGUGGGGUAAUGGCCUACCAAGGCGUCGACGGGUAGCCGGCCUGAGAGGGUGUACGGCCACAUUAGGACUGAGAUACGGCCCAGACUCCUACGGGAGGCAGCAGUGGGGAAUAUUGCACAAUGGGCGCAAGCCUGAUGCAGCGACGCCGCGUGGGGGAUGACGGCCUUCGGGUUGUAAACUCCUUUCGCUAGGGACGAAGCGCAAGUGACGGUACCUGGAGAAGAAGCACCGGCUAACUACGUG
rnacentral:rRNA from 1 species